GAUGAACGCUGGCGGCGUGCCUAAUACAUGCAAGUCGAGCGAACGGACGAGAAGCUUGCUUCUCUGAUGUUAGCGGCGGACGGGUGAGUAACACGUGGAUAACCUACCUAUAAGACUGGGAUAACUUCGGGAAACCGGAGCUAAUACCGGAUGAUAUUUUGAACCGCAUGGUUCAAAAGUGAAAGACGGUCUUGCUGUCACUUAUAGAUGGAUCCGCGCUGCAUUAGCUAGUUGUAAGGUAACGGCUUACCAAGGCAACGAUGGAUAGCCGACCUGAGAGGGUGAUCGGCCACACUGGAACUGAGACAAGGUCCAGACUCCUACGGGAGGCAGCAGUAGGGAAUCUUCAGCAAUGGGCGAAAGCCUGACGGAGCAACGCCGCGUGAGUGAUGAAGGGCUUCGGAUCGUAAAACUCUGUUAUUAGGGAAGAACAUAUGUGUAAGUAACUGUGCACAUCUUGACGGUACCUAAUCAGAAAGCCACGGCUAACUACGUG
rnacentral:rRNA from 1 species